UCCCACCUGGGGGAGUACGCCGGCAACGGUGAAACUCAAAGGAAUUGACGGGGGCCCGCACAAGCGGAGGAACAUGUGGUUUAAUUCGAUGAUACGCGAGGAACCUUACCCGGGCUUGAAUUGCGACUGACUGCAUCAGAGAUGAUGUUUCCAGCAAUGGCAGUCGUGAAGGUGCUGCAUGGUUGUCGUCAGCUCGUGCCGUGAGGUGUCGGCUUAAGUGCCAUAACGAGCGCAACCCUUUUCCCUGUUUGCCAUCGGGUAAUGCCGGGCACUCCAGGGAUACUGCCAUCGUAAGAUGUGAGGAAGGUGGGGAUGACGUCAAAUCAGCACGGCCCUUACGUCCGGGGCUACACACGUGUUACAAUGGGCGGCACAGAGGGCAGCGACCGCGCGAGCGGCAGCCAAUCCCGAAAUCCGCUCUCAGUUCGGACUGGAGUCUGCAACCCGACUCCACGAAGCUGGAUUCGCUAGUAAUCGCGCAUCAGCCAUGGCGCGGUGAAUACGUUCCCGGGCCUUGUACUCACCGCCCGUC
rnacentral:rRNA from 1 species